rnacentral:tRNA from 1 species
UCCAUUUAAGCAUCUCAUUGCUUUAGUUGAAAGAUUCCAUUUGAAUUGGAAUCUGGUCAUUCACUAUGACCCGC